AUGGCCAGUAGCAGCCUGGAGAAUGGGAUUGUAGACGGAGGGUGUGACAUGAAGUACUGGCAAAAUUGGUAUGACAAGCCCACCUGGUCGGGGAAUUCAAGGGCCAAAAGGACUGGGGCACUUGUCAGGAUAAAAGGGAAAAUGAAU